rnacentral:rRNA from 1 species
CAGUAGCCACGGGAACACAGAGGGUGCGAGCGUUAAUCGGAUUUACUGGGCGUAAAGCGUGCGUAGGCGGCUUUUUAAGUCGGAUGUGAAAUCCCUGAGCUUAACUUAGGAAUUGCAUUCGAUACUGGGAAGCUAGAGUAUGGGAGAGGAUGGUAGAAUUCCAGGUGUAGCGGUGAAAUGCGUAGAGAUCUGGAGGAAUACCGAUGGCGAAGGCAGCCAUCUGGCCUAAUACUGACGCUGAGGUACGAAAGCAUGGGGAGCAAACAGGAUUAGAUACCCCCGUAGUCCCUGUCUCUUAUAA